GGCAGAGCUAAACUGAGAGAAGCAAAGUGCUUUGUGACAUGAUGAACAAGUUGCAACCUUAGCUGUCUGCUACACGUCACACACCAGCCACAAGCCUUGAGCACCAACUUAAAAUCAAGCAAAUAAAUGCAAAGUCCUACAUGACUCAAAUAUUUGCUAACACAGCCUGAAAGAGAAAAAAGGUCUGGUAUCCACCAGUACAUCAACUGUCACCACAACUUCUUUAAGGAUAACCAGUAUGUCACAGAGCCGUUCCUGUGUUUAAUUCAGCAAAACAUGGUUCAGUUUUGAAGUGAAAGCACAUUUUAAAAGGGAUAAGGUAACUGCUCUGCAAAUCAAGGCUACGUUAUUUAAAAUCCAAACCCACACUUUUGGCAGCCAGAGCAGCAGCAGCAUCUUCUAUGCAGUAUUUGAUGUUUCUGCCUCAUCACCGAGACCACACAGCACCCAACUCAAAAGCCUGCAACUUUUCUGAAGUGAGAGAUGUUAUGCUGUAUUUUCAACAUCCCCAGGCACUUCUGGCAGAUUUUAAGCUCCAUUUGAGGCAGGAUGAUGCAGGAGAGUGGAGUUGCUGGGAGGAGUCUUUAUUCCGGUUU